rnacentral:rRNA from 1 species
AUGAGGAAACAUAAGAGAAGGCAGCUCUGUUAUUCUCAUCCCAUCCACGCCGACCCAUUCUUCCGCUACUCCCGACACCAUGCCGCCGCAAAAUCUUCAUGCCGGCGGCGGACCUCCGACCGGAGCCACUGCAGCCAAUUGAUCAGUAGCUUUGGGAAGGCGGCGGACAGUAUGAUGGCGAGCAAGGCGGCGCGUGCGUGCCAGGCGGACUACGUGUUCGUCAGGAGCAUCGGGCACCUCCCGUCGAGGCGGCUGGUCGUCCCGGAGGCGCUCGCAGGCAAGGGCAUAGGUCAGCUCCCGUCAAGGUGGCUCGUUGUCCCGAGCCGUCCGGCAGGAACUCGUCGGAGUAGCAGAAGUGAGACGAGGAGAUCGGCGUUGGAGGAGAACCUGCUGUACCCGCGUUCCCAUCCCAUCUUCGAUCCCACCCGUGCGGAGCUCUGCCCGUCACCGCCUCUCGAGGAACUGACGAAGGCCGUCGCACCCGUUCAGCGGUUCAGCCUCGUCGGCUUCUGCCUGACGACCGAGCUCAUGGAGUUUGCCGGCGAGAUGGAGGCCCUUCUUGGCCGGCUAGACAUUGGCAACGGCAACGAGCGGGAACAGUUUUGCAUGGAAGCAUUGUGCCUUAUCGAGAGGAUGGACGUAGAAGGCGGGCAAGCGUGCGGCCUCUAG